rnacentral:rRNA from 1 species
AGACAGAGGAUGCAAGCGUUAUCCGGAAUGAUUGGGCGUAAAGCGUCUGUAGGUGGCUUUUCAAGUCCGCCGUCAAAUCCCAGGGCUCAACCCUGGACAGGCGGUGGAAACUACCCAGCUGGCGGACGGUAGGGGCAGAGGGAAUUUCCGGUGGAGCGGGGAAAUGCGUUGAGAUCGGAAAGAACACCAACGGCGAAAGCACUCUGCUGGGCCGACACUGACACUGAGAGGCGAAAGCUAGGGGAGCAAAUGGGAUUAGACACCCCAGUAGUCCGAGCCGUAAACGAUGGAUACUAAGGGCUGUGCGUAUCGACCCGCGCAGUGCUGUAGCUAACGCGUUAAGUAUCCCGCCUGGGGAGUACGUUCGCAAGAAUGAAACUCAAAUGAAUUUACGGGG